rnacentral:rRNA from 1 species
AACGAACGCUGGCGGCAGGCUUAACACAUGCAAGUCGAGCGAAGACUUCGGUCUUAGCGGCGGACGGGUGAGUAACGCGUGGGAACGUGCCUUUCACUACGGAAUAGUCCCGGGAAACUGGGUUUAAUACCGUAUACGCCCUUCGGGGGAAAGAAUUUCGGUGAGAGAUCGGCCCGCGUCUGAUUAGGUAGUUGGUGGGGUAAUGGCCUACCAAGCCGACGAUCAGUAGCUGGUUUGAGAGGAUGAUCAGCCACACUGGGACUGAGACACGGCCCAGACUCCUACGGGAGGCAGCAGUGAGGAAUCUUGGACAAUGGGGGAAACCCUGAUCCAGCCAUGCCGCGUGAACGAUGAAGGCCUUAGGGUUGUAAAGUUCUUUCAACGGUGAAGAUAAUGACGGUAGCCGUAGAAGAAACCCCGGCUAACUCCGUG